CGUACACAGAUAUUGAAUCAGCAUGUUGUACACCUGAAACUAAUAGAAUAUUGUAUGUCAAUUAGGCCUUAACAUUUUCGGAAAAAAGAAAAAAGAAGCAUACCUACAUUGCAAUAUUGUGAGGAUGAAAGUAAAUGUUUGGAUGCACAGCUAAGGAAGCAAACAGCUUACGGAAUCCCAGACAGCAUCCUCUCCGGCUCAGAGCAGGUGCUUUCAUUGCUUUUAUACCUCUCCUACGGGUGAGUUCUUCCAGCUUCAGAAGAGGUGGUAAUGCGCAUCGCUUUCAUCAAUACCAGCUUCAAUCCAAGGAAUGUCGCUCCUAAAAUAGCAGUGAACAUAAACCAUCUGCAUUUAAGUACUUGACAUUUUGGUAAAAUAUGACAGCUA
rnacentral:lncRNA from 1 species